rnacentral:rRNA from 1 species
AGUGAACGCUGGCGGCGUGCCUAAUAAAUGCAAGUCGAACGGAGUGGCGCACGGGUGAGGAAUGUAUAGCUAAUCUGCCCUACACUAGAGGACAACAGGUGGAAACGACUGCUAAUACUCUAUAGUGUAGGAUGAGGCUAUUUUGUAUCAGCUAGUUGGUGAGGUAAUGGCUCACCAAGGCUAUGACGCAUAACAUGUCUGAGAGGAUGAUCAGUCACCCUGGAACUGAGACACCGUCCAGACUCCUUCGGGAGGCAGCCAUAUAGCAUUUUGAUCAAUGGGCGAAACCCUUAUGCAGCCACGCCGCGUGGAGGAUAAGACUUUUCGCAGCGUAAACUCCUUUUGUUGUGGUAACGGUACCUAACGAAUAAGCCCCGGCUAACUCCGUGCCAGCAGCCGCGGUAAUUC